GCCUCCUACGGGAGGCAGCAGUGGGGAAUAUUGCACAAUGGGCGCAAGCCUGAUGCAGCCAUGCCGCGUGUAUGAAGAAGGCCUUCGGGUUGUAAAGUACUUUCAGCAGUGAGGAAGGUGGGUAUGUUAAUAGCAUACUCAUUUGACGUUAGCUGCAGAAGAAGCACCGGCUAACUCCGUGCCAGCAGCCGCGGUAAUACGGAGGGUGCGAGCGUUAAUCGGAAUUACUGGGCGUAAAGCGCAUGCAGGUGGUUUGUUAAGUCAGAUGUGAAAGCCCGGGGCUCAACCUCGGAAUUGCAUUUGAAACUGGCAAACUAGAGUACUGUAGAGGGGGUAGAAUUUCAGGUGUAGCGGUGAAAUGCGUAGAGAUCUGAAGGAAUACCGGUGGCGAAGGCGGCCCCCUGGACAGAUACUGACACUCAGAUGCGAAAGCGUGGGGAGCAAACAGGAUUAGAUACCCUGGUAG
rnacentral:rRNA from 1 species